rnacentral:rRNA from 1 species
AUUGAACGCUGGCGGCAUGCCUUACACAUGCAAGUCGAACGGUAACGGGUCCUUCGGGAUGCCGACGAGUGGCGAACGGGUGAGUAAUAUAUCGGAACGUGCCCAGUAGUGGGGGAUAACUACUCGAAAGAGUAGCUAAUACCGCAUACGACCUGAGGGUGAAAGGGGGGGAUCGCAAGACCUCUCGCUAUUGGAGCGGCCGAUAUCAGAUUAGCUAGUUGGUGGGGUAAAGGCCUACCAAGGCUACGAUCUGUAGUUGGUCUGAGAGGACGACCAGCCACACUGGGACUGAGACACGGCCCAGACUCCUACGGGAGGCAGCAGUGGGGAAUUUUGGACAAUGGGCGCAAGCCUGAUCCAGCAAUGCCGCGUGCAGGAAGAAGGCCUUCGGGUUGUAGACUGCUUUUGUCAGGGAAGAAAUCUUCUGGGCUAAUACCCCGGGAGGAUGACGGUACCUGAAGAAUAAGCACCGGCUAACUACGUGCCAGCCGCCGCAGUAAUAC